CCAACAGCUGCUGCUUAAGGGGAAUUUUUACCAUAGCAGCUGCAGUGGAAAUGCUCUAAUACAUUAGAUCAUUUAAUCUUCCCAACAGUUUUUUGAGGCAAGUAUUCUUAUCUGACCUCUGUAGUUCUCCAACCUUGCCCAAGGGCACAUGGGGAGAGCCUGCAUGAGCUGCAGACGCAGACGCCCCUCUCUGGGCUCCCGAGCCCCUGCAUCAGGGCAGCUGUAAGACUGCCUUGCCAACUGGAAAAUGUUAUCAUAGUCCUCGGCUGUAGGAGAUCUGAGGCAGAAGACUGUGAGAGCAGAGGUUUCAGAGGCUGGGGGCACCCGGCCUAAAUGCAUCCUGACAGCAAACACUGUCUCACCUUCUCACAGGUGCACCUGUGCGGAGCGGCGAGGAGUGGGAAGAGUCACUGAAGCCAAGGUUUGGCCACCAGAAUAUCUUGCUGCCAGCUCCAACUGCACUGAACCCCAGAGACUCCAUUGACUGGACAUGGCCUUGGACCUUUCGACACAUGGACCAACAAUGGCUGGCUCUCCUGGCACCUUGGGGACAAGGCCUGGAAGCUAGCCUCCUGUGUAUUCCUGGAAUAAUAGCAGAGAGGCCGCCAAAGGUCACAGUACUAUAUCCUGGACGUCCAGAAAGUAGGAGC